UGUGUGUGUGUGUGUAAUUUUAGUGAAUGAAAUUACGUCACUGUUACGUAUGUUCUUGUCUAUCACUGACUGAGACUUUCGUUCUUGGCAGAGACAGGUGCAUAUAUGACAAACUCUCCAUGGGUGUGUUUUUUUAAGGACAACUUUUACCAUGCAUGACAGACAUGAAAAUAUUUGGCUGACAUUGAAGAACAACAGCUUGCCAAAUAAUUAAUUCAAAAAAAAUAAAAUUGGGGGAUUUUUCUUUGUAUGUUAUGUAAUAUAUAUAUAACUUUCAGGAAGACAAUUACUUAUUCACUUCACUCAGCCGGGUGGAAAAUCUGCUGUUGUUGCGUUUUACUGCACUGUGGAAUUUGAAAACUUUGCUCAACAACUGCAGGGAAACAUACUGUCACUACUCCUCUUUCUGUCCCAAUCUUUCUCAUAGUCUCUCUGGCCAUAUUUAUAGAAAGACAAUCAGCUUAUUCUCAUUGGGUGUUUUGCGUCCAUUAGCUGAAACACAUAUAUAACUAUAAUUAAAUUGUUUAUUAUGUUUCUUUGAGGAGGAUGGAACUCCAUGUGUAGCUCAUUCAGAUUUUUCGCAUUAACCCAUGUCAACACAUGUAACACGGCAGUUAAAAGCGGCUGUGGCGGCGGAAAACAGACUGGAAGUCGUCGCAAAGUAAAUGCGGUGGCAUACACAAUACGAGUGUCGGCUAAGUGUUAUUUGCACGGUACAAAAUAUUUUAAUAAAAAUACCAAAUUAAAAACUCAAGCAUUGUGUUUCUACUAAGAUCCAAUCAGAGAGACUCUGAGUUUUAAGACAAAAAACGGGGUCGGCAACUUCUCCGUUUUAGGUCUCCAUUUUCGCCGUUUUAGUCUGGACGGGAGAUGCAAAAGUAGCAAAAGGUCUCCGUUUUAAAACAAAAACGCAGUAGCGUGGAUGGGGCCUGUGUCUCUGUCUCUCUGACCCCUUCUUUUUUUUUUUUCCCGUAGUUUGAAUUCUUUGACUUUAUCUCUCCAGCUCUUUUUUAUCUCUGUGUGUGUCACUAGCAACUCUGGUCAGCCAUUAAACUUACCCUCAAGCCAACUGCAGCAGAAUUCCCAGGCUGCUCGGCUGCCUGAGUUCACACCUUUUUGUCCACAGGAAUCUCAGGAAUCCCCAGCUUCCUUUCCACUGCAAUCUCCAUUGUGUGUGUGUGUGUGUGUGUGUGUGUUAGUACAUGAAGGAAAGGCCCCCGCCUGUGCCGUGUAUGUGUGUUAAAACACAUCUCCGCCCUUGUAUCCACCCAGAGAAAGUAAGCAGGCGGUGCUCAGUUUGUGCCCACAAUAGACUGAGUCACAUUCUAAAAUGGCAAACCUCUCAGUUACUGUGAAACUUUACUCUUUAAGACACACAUGACAUUGUUGUUUUUAAAUUUAAUAAACGAAAUUGUCAUUAUUUACACAUUAAUUAAUCACAAAUCACAUUAAAUCAUACAGAAAGAUUUUUUUGUUAUUGUGUUACUGAUAAUACAUUACACAUUAUUGGUUAUUGCAUAAUUUUCUAAAUUCUACCCAAAACAGUUAAAAAAUAGGUACACUGUCAAUUUAGUUUUUCCUGUUGGGUUGAAAUUGUUUUCUGGUUAAAUUAUUGCAGAUUAAAAAUUAGUUAAAAUUUAUACUACUGCACUAUUUUCUUUUUAACAUAAAAAAAAUGUAUUUCCCAAUGACUCAUUGUCCCUGGCGUGCAGAGCAGCUGAAUAACAAGAUCAAGAAUAAUCUGUCAGAUUGCUGCUUUUGGCAGAGAGCAGCCAAAUGAAAUGGUUGUACUAAAAUAGCUCCACACAAGAAUAUCAUUUGUUUUCAGAAUAAUCUGAAAGACAAUUAACAGAGAGAGCUUUGCUCUUGUGAGAGGCGAUAGUGUUCCCAAUCAGACAAGAGGACGGUGCUCUGUUAUGAUUCCUCUUGGUCACUCCUGCAGGUUAAUGCUGCCGUUUGUCGACAGGUCUGGAGUCAUUUACCUGCUCCAAUCCUGAGUCAUCUCCCCGCCUGCUGCCAGGGCUCAGCAGCACCCAUUCAACACCACGAGAAACACACAGAAAUCCAUCCCUUGUCCGACACACGACAGGCUGUGAUUUACCCACACCCACCCAGUCUCUAUCCACACAUAUACAACCAUACAAUAUAGGUUGAUCUCUCUGAUGUUGAAGCUGCUGCCCAUGAGCUGGAUGAACAAUAUUUCAUAGUAACCUCUGACCUAUUAGAUUGUUCUUAGAGGCGACAAUGCAGUAGGCUAUAUAGAUCAAAUAUUACUUAACCCAACCCAUUACAUGACUCACUAAAUAGUGAAUGGACCCUGACAAAGGCAUUUGUGUGUGUGUGUGUGUGUGUGUUUGCACACAUCAACAUGUGUAACAGGAGUGUAGCAUGGGUGCAGCAUGGGCUUUGAUGAGUCACAUGGCCUCCUGUGAGUAACAAACCAGCUAUGCAGUCCCUGAAGUUUGAGACUCCCAUUCAAAACCCCAGCCCACCCUCGCCCCAAACACCAUAAGGGAGGAGGAGGGGAAGGGGCGGGGCAGGGUGGGGUAGGACGGGACUGUUAAUAGGUGUGGUUGGCAGGGAUGGCGUGGCAGAGAAUAGACGUGGGGUAAAAUAGCAGGAUGUAGGUGAGAACCAGGAAGAUGGGAGGCGGAGAACAGGGUGGUGAACCAAGGACAAGGGCAGUUUCAGGUCAGGCUUAGAAGUAAGGACGACCAAGUUAGGGGUCAAUAGAUGCUAAUGACCUAUCCUACAUGUCACUUUCAUUAUGUCUCACACUAUCCUCACUUCUGUCCUAAAACAGUCAUCAUCCGCUGUCUGGUGUUUUGUUGGUACACUCAGGUACUUUUUUUUUAGUAGCUGUGGUCACCAGGGGGUUACUCACUUGUUUAUUGGCUUGUCCAUUCUUGUAAACACUGGUACUUUCUCUUUGUGGUCACAAUCAGCAGCCUAUCUGUCUGUCUCAUCACAAAACACCACCAGAAAAUUUUUGUCACACAUGUACAUGUGCAUUAUUUAAAUUCAUUUCUUAAGUGUCGCAAGAAUCUGUGGAGCAGCUGAGACAAGAUGCACAUAUAGAAUUUGUUUAUGUGGGUGUAUGUGUGUAUGGGUGGAGAGUGAGGGGCUGCCAGUGUGGCUGGAAGUCAUAAAGACCCUUCUACUGUGGCCGCUGUGUGUGUGUUUUGAGUGUGUGUGUGUGUGGGGGGGGGGUCCCUGCCUCCUUUCCCUUAUUUAGAGGGUCCUUUUCUACAGACGCCCAAACUCUCUGGCAGGGGAGUUUCCUGCUUUUGAAGACCGGGUGCACACGCACACUUAACACACACAUACAGAGAGAGAGAGAGAGAGAGACAGAGAGUGAGAGCGAUGGAGAGGCUGCCCUUACUUUUUUCCUCCUCCCUCUCCCCCUCCUUCUUCCCCUCCUCUCUUUUUUCUGAAUGGAUGUCCUCUCUCUAACCUCAAUUGAGAGCUGUGUAACAGGACACUGCCCUCUGCUGCAAUAGGCUCAGCCCCCUCUUUAACAGCCACACUAUAAGAGAGUGCAGCGUAGGUCCUGAGUGUGGGUGAGAGAGUAUGUCCGACAGUGUCAGUCAGGGGCUGGGGGAAAGAAGGGAGGGUGAAGGGUGAGAGAAAAAGAGAGAGAAGAGAGGGAGACUGCUGUGAAACAUGUGAUAGCGCAACUUUGGCAGGGCUUAUAGGGAGUUUAACGGCUGUAGUGUCUCCAGAGCUCUGGGAAAGCACCUUUAGCCCAGAGGGAGCCUCACACGCUGUCUGUGUGUGUGUUGUGAGAAAGUGUGUGUGUGUGUGUGUGUAUGUGGGAGAGCCGGCUAUGUAGUAGUGCUGCUGUCACUUUAAGCCUGUUACUGAUUACACUCAGAAGAAUGCAACGGGAGGAGGAAAAAAAGACAGGGAAAGAGAUGAGGAGACAUGUAAGGAUGAAAUCUUUUAGGAGUUGAGCUCCGGCAAGUUUUGUGUGACUUGCCCUCACAACCGUGGACAGUGACGUGGGUGAGACAUUGUUACCCAAUAGCGUCUCUCUCUCUCUGUCUCUCUCUCUUUCACUCUCUGUUGGACCCAGCAAAGUUAAAGAGAAGGGGAACCAGGAAUCCCUCUUUGAAGCAGGGGACAGAGCAAAGGGCACCCAGAAAUGGAGGAAAAACUUAAAGAAAGACACCAGAGAAAAAGAAUCUGAAGAGAGAGAGGGGGGGAGGUUCCCUCAUUCCAAACUCAGCGCCGGGAGGAAACACUGCUCUCACCCAGACGGGUUUGCCGAUUCUGGACAGAUUUUUUUAUACCAGAAACACCACUGAACAACCAUGUGUUCCUGAAGCCCUUCCAAUCAGAGAUGGACUCAGCUGUGUCUGCAGAAGUGCAUCGUCUUCCCGCCUAGGCACGACCAAACUGGCCAGCCUUCACGGUUCACUGCUCUGUGGCUGCUGUCAGUUGCUCAGUAGGCAGUGUAGAUCCUGUGUAGCAAUCAGCAGCUACAUCUGGCUACUGGGUCUCUGACGGCUCUGCCUACUUCCCGGUCGAGCCCAUUCCACUCCAAUUGGCUGGUGACACAUUCCAGUCCUCUUAUUGGCUGCGAUGUCAGGGGGGCUCCAUCCUGUGACCCCACAGACAGGAUGUUCUCUGUGUCACAACUCCACAAGGGGCCCUUGUCAAGGCUUUUUGUGUGUUUUUUUCACUCCUUCCUCUUCCGCCAUUCUUCUUUUAAUUCGCCCUGUUUCUGCCUCUCUCUCUCUCUCUCUCUCUCUCUCCCUCUCUCUCUCUCUCCUUCAUGCUCUGUGAGGUCCUCUUUGUUUUAAAUGUCCUUGGUAAGAGCUAAUAAUGUUAAACUACAGAUGUUCCAUGACAGAAAUUUCAAGAAGUGAUGUUUCCGAUGUGUUUCUGGAUGCCUGCUUGAAAAGACUUUGAGAUGAAGAGAUGUACCUUUGCUUUGUCCUGAACCUGGCAUACAAUGUAGAUUUCUGUGUGGUUCAAUUCUACAGCUACAUUGUCUGCUGGGUUUCUGGCUAGCAAUAUAAGCAGCUGUUAUAUAACACAAAGGGUGCUCAAAAACAGUAAGUAUUCAUCUAUUCUGUCAAUGUAUCUGAAAUGCCUGACCCUGAAAAUUCAAUAAAAAGAAAAUAUUUUACAGUAAUACAA